UUUAUUUUACUUUUUAUUAAAAAAAAUUAUUUUGAUAUACUUUAGCCCACGUGCUACUGAUGGCCCACAGGUCGCGUGCUAGCCCACCAAUAAAGCGUGCUUAUGACGUGUCUUUUCGCAUACCGUAUUUUGGCCCAUCACUAAUCGUGCCGUACUUUUAAGGCCCACGUGCCUAAAAAUCUGAGCACGGUUCGGCCCAAAUGCGUGCCGUGCCGCUUGCAUUGCCGAAACAUAUUUGUAUCGUGCCAUACUGUAUGGACACAUGUCGUGCCACGUGCUGCCCAGCCCAUUGGCCACCUUUAGUAAAUCAUGUUUCGAGCCCAACUGAAUAAAAAUCAUGUUUCGAGCCCAACUGAAGCCUAUCCCUAAUGACAAUAAAGAAAACUAAUUUUUUUAAGCAAAAACUAUACUAGUAAUAGCUCUAUUUAGAUAAGUUUUAUUGUUCUUUUAGUAAAGUUUUUGAAGAUUAAACAAGUUUUUUUUCUCUAUUGGUAGAAGUU
rnacentral:lncRNA from 1 species